UACGUAGGGGGCAAGCGUUGUCCGGAUUUAUUGGGCGUAAAGAGCUCGUAGGCGGUUUGGUAAGUCUGGUGUGAAAUCUCCACGCUCAACGUGGAGGGGCCACCCGAUACUGCCAUGACUGGAGUCCGGUAGAGGAGUGUGGAAUUCCUGGUGUAGCGGUGAAAUGCGUAGAUAUCAGGAAGAACACCGGUGGCGAAAGCGCUCUGCUAGGCCGCAACUGACACUGAGACGCGAAAGCGUGGGGGAGCAAACAGG
rnacentral:rRNA from 1 species